rnacentral:lncRNA from 1 species
GUCUAAAAAAAAAAAAAAAUGUUUCGAAAGUAAGAUCAUAUAAUGAAAGAUGUUACAGUUGUAUUGAUUUUCAAAUUAUUUUGGACAAGAAGAAAAAGAAAGAAAUAGCAGCAAAUAAGCCAUACGAGAGAUACAAAUCAUGAAACAUAGAGUAGUGAGUAGUGACAAGAGGGGGCAAGGAGACGAAGCAGUCUUCUGUCUUCUUCUUGAUACAAGGAAGAGGCAUUGCCUUUAUUGAAAAGAAAGAAAGAAAACUAACGUAUGUGAAAAUACAUGUCUAGACUCUGUACUACAUGCACAACUUGGUGCAACUAACGAUGACAAUAAUGAGAAAUUACAGAGCAGCCAGAGCAGCCAUGACUUCGGCAAUCUCCAUUAUUUUUACAGCGCAUUGCAUAGCAUGCUGGUGGCCGCAGCUUGCUUGUCACUAGUUCUAUUGUUGCCGCUUCUCCUGCAAGUACCUCUUCUUCCAUGGCUUCUGCUAAUUCUAUUCUUCGGCACGAUAUAACUACAAAAGAGAUUUCAUUAAUCAGCAACUUUACACUCGUAAAUUGAUAUAUCUAUAGUAAGGACAUUAAGAAAUAUUUAUAUAUACACAUAGAUUAGUUAUUUGGUAACACAAUCUACUAACAACUUAUUGAAAACAAAGAGACAGAGAACUAACCGAUGGCAAACAAGAGGAGAAGACUGAAAAGAGCAAGAGUAGUUGACGACUUGGAGGCCAUGUUUCUGGUCCGUGUAAAUGCACUUAGAGGUCCUCCUCCGGACUUUAUAGUUUAUAGUAUACUAGUUUAUGUAUAAGUUGGAUUAAAGUUGUUUUUUUGGGGAAGGGUUGUGGGGAGGGGCAGAGGGGGGAAUAUUAUAUUGGGAGUUGUACAUAUUGUCAAAGAUUAUAUGGUAGUAUA